ensembl:lncRNA
UGAGUUGACAGGUUUCUCCCAUUCUUUGUUCCUAAGUAAGAUAGACUACUUAUACGUUUUAAAUAGAAUGUUUACGUUCUAUUUAAGAUUACUGUUAAAACUACAUUCCUUUAUUUUGUAAUUCUGUAACCAUUUUCUUACAGGCUUUCUGUUUCAUGAUCAUACUCAUCUCUCUUUAUUUUGGUACUCCCUGACUCACUAUGUAAUUAUAGUAACAGGAUGAAGGAUGACACAUGAUGUGGGAGCUUUACCUUUGAUUCUGAGACAUGAAGAUUUCCUCUUAUGCCUACCCCAGAGCCAGUUCUGAGGGGAGGAAACAGGAUGCAAAGUAAUCAGUAUUUCUCAAUGGAGUACAGAGAAAUCCCAAGCAUGAAUGAAGACAUCAACUGAAUUUUCAAAAACAUCUCCUACUGUUGUGACCCAGUCCUCUGUGGUGGUUUUCUGAUGGACCAUGACUUGCUCUUGGAUUCUGCUGACUGGGUGAGGUAAAGAGAGGCAAAGAUAAGCAUCAUUCAGCUGUCACCCUUCUGCCCUUGGGGAGUUCUUUCGCUGAAGCUGUCUGGAGCAUAUGUAAAGUUGGAUUCACGUACCUGAUUGUAGAGCAAUGGUAACUUGUUUCACUGAUAGCUCUGGGAAAGGACAUAAUGAAUGCCCUUGGUUGGCUUUCUCCUCUUCAUUUUGUGCUCACAAAGACUGAAGUAUUUCAGCAUACUGAUGGACAAUGGACUGCCAGUGCAGACAGACAUCCAAAUUCAUCUUGGAAGAGUCAAGUUCUUAACUGUAGCAAAAAUAGCAAUUAUUUAUGGAGCAGCAUUAUAAUAGGCAUUAUGAAUUUGCAGAAGUCUUCACUGCACACAAAAUAUCAUUUUACUUGUACUAGAAAUUUCAUUUUUUUACAUUUUCUAGGUAGUUUGUUGUCUUCUUCAAACAGAGGCUGGUUUUCCUAGACAGGAGAAGGUAUUUUGCUGUG